AGCUGAAUUAAGAUGAGGUGGCCAGCAUUUUCAAUGUGCGUGAGCUGUGUGCGGAAUUCAAGGGAUCACUGGAUGGAUGCUCCAUCUGCAAACCUGAUGAAGGCAUUUAGUACCUAUGACUGAGGAUUCUGCCACUGAUGUCUGCCACGAAUGUACUCUCCUCUCAAGGGACUGUGCCUAUA